GGGUUGUGAGGUUAAGCGACUAAGCGUACACGGUGGAUGCCCUGGCAGUCAGAGGCGAUGAAGGACGUGCUAAUCUGCGAAAAGCGUCGGUAAGGUGAUAUGAACCGUUAUAACCGGCGAUGUCCGAAUGGGGAAACCCAGUGCAAUUCGUUGCACUAUCGUUAACUGAAUACAUAGGUUAACGAGGCGAACCGGGGGAACUGAAACAUCUAAGUACCCCGAGGAAAAGAAAUCAACCGAGAUUCCCCCAGUAGCGGCGAGCGAACGGGGAGCAGCCCAGAGUCUGAAUCAGCUUGUGUGUUAGUGGAACGGUCUGGAAAGUCCGACGGUACAGGGUGAUAGUCCCGUACACCAAAAUGCACAGGCUGUGAACUCGAAGAGUAGGGCGGGACACGUGGUAUCCUGUCUGAAUAUGGGGGGACCAUCCUCCAAGGCUAAAUACUCCUGACUGACCGAUAGUGAACCAGUACCGUGAGGGAAAGGCGAAAAGAACCCCGGCGAGGGGAGUGAAAAAGAACCUGAAACCGUGUACGUACAAGCAGUGGGAGCACCUUCGGGUGUGACUGCGUACCUUUUGUAUAAUGGGUCAGCGACUUAUAUUCUGUAGCAAGGUUAACCGUAUAGGGGAGCCGCAGGGAAACCGAGUCUUAACUGGGCGUUAAGUUGCAGGGUAUAGACCCGAAACCCGGUGAUCUAGCCAUGGGCAGGUUGAAGGUUGGGUAACACUAACUGGAGGACCGAACCGACUAAUGUUGAAAAAUUAGCGGAUGACUUGUGGCUGGGGGUGAAAGGCCAAUCAAACCGGGAGAUAGCUGGUUCUCCCCGAAAGCUAUUUAGGUAGCGCCUCGUGAAUUCAUCUUCGGGGGUAGAGCACUGUUUCGGCUAGGGGGUCAUCCCGACUUACCAACCCGAUGCAAACUACGAAUACCGAAGAAUGUUAUCACGGGAGACACACGGCGGGUGCUAACGUCCGUCGUGAAGAGGGAAACAACCCAGACCGCCAGCUAAGGUCCCAAAGUCAUGGUUAAGUGGGAAACGAUGUGGGAAGGCACAGACAGCCAGGAUGUUGGCUUAGAAGCAGCCAUCAUUUAAAGAAAGCGUAAUAGCUCACUGGUCGAGUCGGCCUGCGCGGAAGAUGUAACGGGGCUAAACCAUGCACCGAAGCUGCGGCAGCGACACUAUGUGUUGUUGGGUAGGGGAGCGUUCUGUAAGCCUGCGAAGGUGACCUGUGAGGGUUGCUGGAGGUAUCAGAAGUGCGAAUGCUGACAUAAGUAACGAUAAAGCGGGUGAAAAGCCCGCUCGCCGGAAGACCAAGGGUUCCUGUCCAACGUUAAUCGGGGCAGGGUGAGUCGACCCCUAAGGCGAGGCCGAAAGGCGUAGUCGAUGGGAAACAGGUUAAUAUUCCUGUACUUGGUGUUACUGCGAAGGGGGGACGGAGAAGGCUAUGUUAGCCGGGCGACGGUUGUCCCGGUUUAAGCAUGUAGGCUGGUUGUCCAGGCAAAUCCGGAUAAUCAAGGCUGAGGUGUGAUGACGAGGCACUACGGUGCUGAAGUAACAAAUGCCCUGCUUCCAGGAAAAGCCUCUAAGCAUCAGGUAACAUCAAAUCGUACCCCAAACCGACACAGGUGGUCAGGUAGAGAAUACCAAGGCGCUUGAGAGAACUCGGGUGAAGGAACUAGGCAAAAUGGUGCCGUAACUUCGGGAGAAGGCACGCUGGUGUGUAGGUGAAGUCCCUGCGGAUGGAGCUGAGACCAGUCGAAGAUACCAGCUGGCUGCAACUGUUUAUUAAAAACACAGCACUGUGCAAACACGAAAGUGGACGUAUACGGUGUGACGCCUGCCCGGUGCCGGAAGGUUAAUUGAUGGGGUUAUCCGUAAGGAGAAGCUCUUGAUCGAAGCCCCGGUAAACGGCGGCCGUAACUAUAACGGUCCUAAGGUAGCGAAAUUCCUUGUCGGGUAAGUUCCGACCUGCACGAAUGGCGUAAUGAUGGCCAGGCUGUCUCCACCCGAGACUCAGUGAAAUUGAACUCGCUGUGAAGAUGCAGUGUACCCGCGGCAAGACGGAAAGACCCCGUGAACCUUUACUAUAGCUUGACACUGAACAUUGAGCCUUGAUGUGUAGGAUAGGUGGGAGGCUUUGAAGCGUGGACGCCAGUCUGCGUGGAGCCAACCUUGAAAUACCACCCUUUAAUGUUUGAUGUUCUAACGUUGGCCCCUUACCGGGGUUGCGGACAGUGUCUGGUGGGUAGUUUGACUGGGGCGGUCUCCUCCCAAAGCGUAACGGAGGAGCACGAAGGUUAGCUAAUCCUGGUCGGACAUCAGGAGGUUAGUGCAAUGGCAUAAGCUAGCUUGACUGCGAGCGUGACGGCGCGAGCAGGUGCGAAAGCAGGUCAUAGUGAUCCGGUGGUUCUGAAUGGAAGGGCCAUCGCUCAACGGAUAAAAGGUACUCCGGGGAUAACAGGCUGAUACCGCCCAAGAGUUCAUAUCGACGGCGGUGUUUGGCACCUCGAUGUCGGCUCAUCACAUCCUGGGGCUGAAGUAGGUCCCAAGGGUAUGGCUGUUCGCCAUUUAAAGUGGUACGCGAGCUGGGUUUAGAACGUCGUGAGACAGUUCGGUCCCUAUCUGCCGUGGGCGCUGGAGAAUUGAGGGGGGCUGCUCCUAGUACGAGAGGACCGGAGUGGACGCAUCACUGGUGUUCGGGUUGUCAUGCCAAUGGCACUGCCCGGUAGCUAAAUGCGGAAGAGAUAAGUGCUGAAAGCAUCUAAGCACGAAACUUGCCCCGAGAUGAGUUCUCCCUGAGACUUUAAGUCUCCUGAAGGAACGUU
rnacentral:rRNA from 1 species